rnacentral:lncRNA from 1 species
AAUUUAAAUAUUUAUUGGCCUUUCUUGAUAUAUUAACUUUCUGAGUUUCCACCCCACUUUUCUCUUUACUUUCUUUUCUGAUAAGAAAUGCAUGGCUAUUAAUACAGCUACCUCAGAUAAACAUUGUGAGGAUUAGAUAAUGAUUUAGGGAGGAUCAACUGAGAGAAUAUAGGCAAAAGAUUUCGUCUUGGCACUCAUAUAUUUGGGUGUUAAAUAU